AGUGAACGCUGGCGGUAGGCCUAACACAUGCAAGUCGAACGGCAGCACAGUAAGAGCUUGCUCUUACGGGUGGCGAGUGGCGGACGGGUGAGGAAUACAUCGGAAUCUACUUUUUCGUGGGGGAUAACGUAGGGAAACUUACGCUAAUACCGCAUACGACCUACGGGUGAAAGCAGGGGAUCUUCGGACCUUGCGCGAUUGAAUGAGCCGAUGUUGGAUUAGCUAGUUGGCGGGGUAAAGGCCAACAAAGGCGACGAUCCGUAGCUGGUCUGAGAGGAUGAUCAGCCACACUGGAACUAGGAAACGGUCCAGACCCCUACGGGAGGCAGCAGUGGGAAAUAUUGGACAAGGGGCGCAAGCCUGAUCCAGCAAUACCGCGUGGGUGAAGAAGGCCUUCGGGUGGUAAAGCCCUUUUGUUGGGAAAGAAAAGCAGCAGGUUAAUACCCCGCUGUUCUGACGGUACCCAAAGAAUAAGCACCGGCUAACUUCGU
rnacentral:rRNA from 1 species